AGAACGAACGCUGGCGGCAGGCCUAACACAUGCAAGUCGAACGCCUUAGCAAUAAGGAGUGGCAGACGGGUGAGUAACACGUGGGAACGUACCCUUCGGUUCGGAAUAACUCAGGGAAACUUGUGCUAAUACCGGAUACGAUCGCGAGAUGAAAGAUUUAUCGCCGAAGGAUCGGCCCGCGUCUGAUUAGCUAGUUGGUGAGGUAAUGGCUCACCAAGGCGACGAUCAGUAGCUGGUCUGAGAGGAUGACCAGCCACAUUGGGACUGAGACACGGCCCAAACUCCUACGGGAGGCAGCAGUGGGGAAUAUGGACAAUGGGCGCAAGCCUGAUCCAGCCAUGCCGCGUGAGUGAUGAAGGCCUUAGGGUUGUAAAGCUCUUUUACUCGGGAAGAUAGUGACGGUACCGAGAGAAUAAGCCCCGGCUAACUUCGCGCCAGCAGCCGC
rnacentral:rRNA from 1 species